GCAAAGACUUGAAAAGAUGGUUUAAAGCAGGGGUUCUCAAACUUUUUGGAGCCAGGGACCCCUUACAGCCUAAACUAACUGCCUGCAGCUCAGCUGCAGCAACCUCAGGUUCAGCUGAAUGACAGUGAUAGAGAAACUCUCUGCUCCACCAUCAACGAGGUCAAGUCUCUGAAGGAGCAAAACAAAGCUCUGAAGGACUCCAUCAGUCUGCUGGAAGAAACCAAACAGACAGAGGUGAACAAACUCCAAGAGGAGCUGAAGCUCAAAGAUGAACUCGUGGAUAGAGCCUCUGAAAAAGAGCAGGAAGCAACCGGAGCCUAUGCAGAAACCAUGGACAUACUGGCUGAAAAAGAGACUGAGCUCUUCUUUUUUGAGCUCAAGUUUAAAGAUGAACUCUUAGAAAAAGCUGCCACAAAUCAGCAGGAAUGAACCAGAGCCCAAGUGGACAGCCCUCUUGUUAAGAUUUUAAACAUUUCUGCAAAUUCUGCAAUACAGUUGUGAUGAACU